rnacentral:rRNA from 1 species
AUUGAACGCUGGCGGCAUGCCUUACACAUGCAAGUCGAACGGUAACAGGUCUUCGGAUGCUGACGAGUGGCGAACGGGUGAGUAAUACAUUGGAACGUGCCUAGUAGUGGGGGAUAACUACUCGAAAGAGUGGCUAAUACCGCAUGAGAUCUACGGAUGAAAGCAGGGGAUCGCAAGACCUUGUGCUACUAGAGCGGCCGAUGGCAGAUUAGGUAGUUGGUGGGAUAAAAGCUUACCAAGCCGACGAUCUGUAGCUGGUCUGAGAGGACGAUCAGCCACACUGGGACUGAGACACGGCCCAGACUCCUACGGGAGGCAGCAGUGGGGAAUUUUGGACAAUGGGCGCAAGCCUGAUCCAGCAAUGCCGCGUGCAGGAUGAAGGCCUUCGGGUUGUAAACUGCUUUUGUACGGAACGAAAAGCCCCGGGUUAAUACCCUGGGGUCAUGACGGUACCGUAAGAAUAAGCACCGGCUAACUUCGUGCCAGCAGCCGCCGUAA